rnacentral:lncRNA from 1 species
UCAAUAUGGACUGGUCUGACUGGUCUUACUAUGAAUCACCAAUAUAGCCGAGUCCGAUUUAAGUUAAAACUCAGAUGUGAUCUAGCGCUAAAACUAAUUGAAAACCGGCAAAACCAGUGACCACAUUUCUAAUUUGCAUAAUUUAUUUCCUUUUUUGUGUUACAGUUUAACGCAAAUAUUAUUAUAAUUUGUUUCGGUAAAAAUUCUAUUGUUACUCUUUUUUUUUUUUUUCAAAGCAAAUAAAGCAGAAUUUGUUAAACCAAUUCUCAUUUAAAACAAAACUUAUGAUUUUAUAUAUAUAUAUAUAUUAUUAGAUAAACCCACAG